ACCACCGUUAAACCUCAUCAAAGAAGAAGAAUAAGAUCUAGAGCUGAUUUGCAACCCGCCGAAGCAGGUCUGGAGAAGAAGGAAAAUGUCUCCUGUCUCCACACGCACCGUUCUAGGAUCAGCUGGCCGUUAGGAAAACGCAAACAGUAAAGUGACUUUACCCAUAACUGAUCUUAGAGCAGUGUGUAAGCUCAUUCUCAUCCUACCCCGGACACUGCGACAAAUACAGAAAGGUUCAGGAGAAACUCUUCCACACUCCAAAACAGUCACCCAGGAAUUAAAGAGGAAGUGACAUCAGAGCAGAUGGAAUCAAAUCCCAGCCUGGCGGGGGUGGACUCCCAGGGCAACAUGGUGUUCAGAGUGGUUAAACCUGUCAUGGGCAUCUUCCAAGUGUCCUCAGAACAGACCAACUCUGUCGGACAGGGAGGGUCGCAGCAGAUGAUGGUUGGGGGGCUGACGGGGUUACAAGGGUUAUCCAACCUCCCCUCCAUGGUGCUGGGGGAUGGACAGGGUCAGGGCCAACAGCGAAUGGGGGACGUGAACCAGAUGCAAGCCCAGAUUCAGAUCCCGGCAGAGGACAUGUCCCAGACCCAGGUUGCCGCUCCGAACCACAACCACGUACCCCAUGUUCCGUUUGCAGAGGUGUCGUCUCUCUUGGACCCCAACAUGAAGAGUUCCAAGGCCCGUAAGUACCUGAUACCCUAUGACGAGAUCAAGCGUCGUCUGGAGGCUCCAGAGAAGAUGUCUCUGCGUUCCCUAGCAGCCUACACCAGGGUCAGCCGUGGCCCGGCCAGCAAGAAAACCCUGCAGGAGUCUCUAAAUAUACUGGGCCUUACUCCUGGUACUACUACUUCUGUGUCCUCUUCCUUUUCCAAGCUCACAGAGGGUGACACCAAAGCCCUGUGUAAUGACAUGAAGGACUUUGCCCAUGACUACAUAGACUUUGGCAACAUGGCAAAGCAGCUUAUUCCAGAGACCAACACUGUCCAACACUGGUCCAAGGUCAUAGAAACCAGGAGCCACCUGGAGGCGAUGAGAAAGUGUUUUCGUGACCCGGUCAACAGUGCGUCGUUCGACAACGUGACUCAUGGCUUGGGCCUCGGGAUGCUCGACGCCGCCCCUCGACAUGAUUACCAUGGUGAUUGACAAACAAAUUCGCAUCCUGUCCGGUGCUGCGGCAACCGAUCCCGUCGACACCGGCCCUCCAAUGAGACGCAUCCGCCGCCGCCACCGCAAGCCCCGAGACACCGGCAACGACAAACCGCACCGGUCGUUGGGUGGGGUUAAAGGUCAAGACAAAGGGUCAGGGAAGGGCAAAGGGAGGGGCAGAGGCAGGAAGAAGAUGCGGCUGCAGGAGUCUGGAGCUCCAGUUGGUGUUGCCAUGGAUACAACCCAGCAGCAGGAUCAAGAGCAUUGUCAGCCGGAGGAUGUGGAGAGCAGUGUUCUCACACUCGUCUCUGUUGGUUACGAGACCAUCUCCAGUGGGCUCAAUGCCACAGGGCAGAUCUAAAGAUGUUUAACGGUUGAACAAACAAUGCUUAACGCGAGAAUCGGACUUUGCUUAAUAUUUUCCCAUGGGGAAGCUGGGAGCAGAACUGUCUUAGUAACGUUGUGGAACAUUGUGGAACGUUGUGAUGUUUAGACGCAACUCUGCUCUGGCCCACAGAACCCCAAACACUGAGAGGGAGGCAUUCAGUGAUGUCACAGCAUUCUAGUUUAGAGUUUUGUUUUUGAGUGUUGCAGCUCUUGCCUACUGAUAAUUCAAUCAGUUGAAUGUAGUUUUUUUGUCAGUUAGCACAGAGGUGAUGAACGCAGCUUUGUUGAAGUGGAAUUCAAGUCAAUCCAAAGAUAAGUGAUUAUAUUGAAAAACCUACAAUGUAGAAAUUAGUCUUAAUUCUGGUCUUUGGUUAAGGCAAUCCCUUCAUUCCACCUACUCAUCUGGUAUUUGAUAGCCCUGUUUAUUUCUAUCAUGACUGGACUAGUUAUAGCCCUCUCUCAAUCUCCAUGAUUCUAACAUGGGGAACACAUCAUGCCAGUACUUUGUCAAUGAUUGUAUGUUUAUAUUGAAACCUGGAUUGCUGAAAUACUUGUAUUAAAGCUUUCAUUUUAUUAA